rnacentral:rRNA from 1 species
AUGGCCAUGUUGGGGGUCAAGGGAACAGUCAAGGGCGAGAUGAGGAAGCUGUGCAAGAGGGUGAUCAAGGGCAAGCGAGAGAAGUACGCGGGCAUGGGCAUGCUGCCGGGGGAGUACGAGGACAAGCUCCCAAUGGUCAAGGUGGCGGUCAAGGACAUGUGCGGAGAGUACAAGGUGGAGGAGAAAGUUGGACACUUGAUAUUCUCGUUUGUUACGUUUGUCCGUCCGUCCGUAGGUGUUAGACACAAGAUUCAAUCCAUACUGUGCGGCGCUCCCGGAAGGCGCGGGCGCCACACUGUGCGAGGUCGAACAUCGGGGUGUCAUUCUGUAGUCGACCUCCCCCUCCCGCGUCGCUCCCGCGAGCGACCGGGGGGAUCCUCCUAG